AACUGGUCGGGAGCUCUCUUGACGAGGCCAUGACAGGCCGAAACCAGUU
rnacentral:hammerhead_ribozyme from 15 species